UGCAGUCUAUGUCAUACUUCCAAGAAAAGCUUGCACUGUCAUAAACAAAUAAUGCCUGUACCAUAACCGACACAGGUGGGUAGGUAGAGUAUACUAAGGGGCGCGAGAUAACUCUCUCUAAGGAACUCGGCAAAAUGACUCCGUAACUUCGGGAGAAGGAGUGCCUUAUUUAUAAGGUUGCAAUAACAAGAUCCAAGCAACUGUUUACCAAAAACACAGGUCUCCGCUAAGUCGUAAGACGAUGUAUGGGGGCUGACGCCUGCCCAGUGCCAGAAGGUUAAAGAAGUUGGUUAGCAUCCGCGAAGCUGAUAACUGAAGCCCUGGUGAACGGCGGCCGUAACAAUAACGGUCCUAAGGUAGCGAAAUUCCUUGUCGGGUAAGUUCCGACCCGCACGAAAGGCGUAAUGAUUUGGAUACUGUCUCGGAGAGGGGCUCGGUGAAAUAGACUUGUCUGUGAAGAUGCGGACUACCUGCACCAGGACAGAAAGACCCUAUGAAGCUUUACUGUAACCUGAAAUUGAAAUUGGACUUUACUUGCGCAGUAUAGGUGGGAGGCGUUGAGAAUAUUCUUGCGGGAUUAUUGGAGCCAUCAGUGAGAUACCACUCUUGUAAUGUUAGAUUUCUAACUUUGUAUCAUUAUCUGGUCAAAGAACAGUUUCAGGCGGGCAGUUUGACUGGGGCGGUCGCCUCCUAAACGGUAACGGAGGCGCACAAAGGUUUCCUCUGAACGGGUAGAAAUCGUAUCUAGAGUGUAAAGGCAUAAGGAAGCUUGACUGUGAGACCUACAAGUCGAGCAGGGACGAAAGUCGGUCUUAGUGAUCUGACGGUGCUGAGUGGAAAGGCCGUCACUCAACGGAUAAAAGUUACUCUAGGAUAACAGGCUGAUCUCCCCCAAGAGUUCACAUCGACGGGGAGGUUUGGCACCUCGAUGUCGGCUCAUCGCAUCCUGGGGCGGUAGUACGUCCCAAGGGUUGGGCUGUUCGCCCAUGAAAGCGGUACGCGAGCUGGGUUCAGAACGUCGUGAGACAGUUCGGUCCAUAUCCGGUGUAGGCGUUAGAAUAUUGAGAGGAGCCUUCUUUAGUACGAGAGGACCGAGAAGGACAUACCUCUGGUGUACCAGUUAUCGUGCCAACGGUAAACGCUGGGUAGCUAUGUGUGGAGUGGAUAACCGCUGAAAGCAUCUAAGUGGGAAGCCCACCUCAAGAUAAGUAUUCUC
rnacentral:rRNA from 1 species